CAGGCUUAACACAUGCAAGUCGAGGGGUAACAGGGAUUAGUUUACAGUCUGCUGACGACCGGCGCACGGGUGAGUAACGCGUAUACAAUUUACCUUUUACAGGAGGAUAGCCCAGAGAAAUUUGGAUUAAUACUCCAUGGUAUUAUAGAAUCGCAUGGUUUUAUAAUUAAAGUUUCGGUGGUAGAAGAUGAGUAUGCGUCCUAUUAGCUGGUUGGUAAGGUAACGGCUUACCAAGGCGACGAUGGGUAGGGGUCCUGAGAGGGAGAUCCCCCACACUGGUACUGAGACACGGACCAGACUCCUACGGGAGGCAGCAGUGAGGAAUAUUGGCCAAUGGAGGCAACUCUGAACCAGCCAUGCCGCGUGCAGGAAGACUGCCCUAUGGGUUGUAAACUGCUUUUAUACAGGAAGAAACUUAUCCACGUGUGGAUAACUGACGGUACUGUACGAAUAAGGACCGGCUAACUCCGUGCCAGCAGCCGCGGUAAUACGGAGGGUCCAAGUGUUAUCCGGAAUCAUUGGGUUUAAAGGGUCCGUAGGCGGGCGAUUAAGUCAGAGGUGAAAUCCCACAGCUCAACUGUGGAACUGCCUUUGAUACUGGUUGUCUUGAGUUACAGUGAAGUAGAUAGAAUAUGUAGUGUAGCGGUGAAAUGCAUAGAUAUUACAUAGAAUACCGAUUGCGAAGGCAGUCUACUAACUGUUAACUGACGCUAAGGGACGAAAGCGUGGGGAGCGAACAGGAUUAGAUACCCUGGUAGUCCACGCCGUAAACGAUGGUCACUAGUUGUUGGGGCGUUUGCCUCAGCGACUGAGCGAAAGCAUUAAGUGAUCCACCUGGGGAGUACGAUCGCAAGAUUGAAACUCAAAGGAAUUGACGGGGGCCCGCACAAGCGGAGGAACAUGUGGUUUAAUUCGAUGAUACGCGAGGAACCUUACCUGGGCUUAAAUGUAGAACGACGGAUCGGGAAACUGAUCUUUCUUCGGACGCUUUGCA
rnacentral:rRNA from 1 species